AGCAAUGCUUGCCUCUUGUAGGACCAACACAUCAUUCAAUUUCACAUUUAAUAUUAAUAUUAUUAUUAUUUUUAAAUAGCAAGCAGCAACAAAUUAAAUAUAUUUUUUUAAUAUGACCAAGAAAGUGUCUCCUUGUACAAAGGCAAAUCUCUAGUCAGAGGAGCAAGAAGGAAUCAUUCCCAUCUUAUCUUUAAAAAAAAAAAUCAUCCCCCCCAUAACUCUUUAAAUAUUCAUAUAUUUGCUCUCUAACAAAAGAAAACAAAUCCACUGGUAAUUACAAAUUUCGACGGCUAGGAUUUAUGCCUGCUUCAUGGGACGUUCCGGCGUGCCCAAUCUCGGACAAAACCCGAGGCCAUUUCCUAUGUCCUCGGUCAGGCACUUGCUGCUCGGUUAAAACGGGCAAAACAGCUUUCUUACCGCCUAAUCUAUUGCCACGUCUCUAUCAGAUAUUCCCAACUAAUUCGGUGGACACGCGUCACCGAUUAAUAUGCCACCAUCGAAGUCCGCUGCCAAAUCUUAACCACCCAAACCUCGCAUCGCAGAUUUCUCACUUUAUCCAACAUACCUUUUAAUUUUUCCACUCCCUUUAUUCACGAAAACUUGAACCAUUUCAUCGCUCGCCAACGUUUUUAGUCCCUCCUUCCUCCCAGAACUUUCCACAAACGCUUCCUUCCCGUCCUUGCACCCUGACCCGGUUCGGCUCCAUGGUCCGGCGAAAACUUUUGCUCCUACAUGGGUUAGGUUUUGUCCACGUCGGAGUUUGACGCUCGUGCAGAACUCCUUGCUUGCAUCGCAGGCCAAAUACGAAUCUUGACGUCCAACUGUGCAAUUUUGUUUCCCAUCUAACCCGCGGCGGUCUUCCGCCAGUUAUAUAAAAUUGUUAACCCUCUAUCUCGGGAGGAGAUUCUCUUAACCGUCAAAGAUCCCCGAACCACUCUCCUUCUCUCUCUAAAACCCUAGCUUGCUUGAGCGCGGAGUUCUUGGAAUCGAUGGGUUUCUCCUAGUUCGAUUCUCGCCGGAGAUGGAGGAAGGGGAAGGCGAGAGCUCGUCGCCGGCGAGGCCCUUUGUCGGCCACGACAUCCGCUACGAUAUCUACACGAGGCUAGCGAGGCUACUCGAGAGCGAGAACGAGGAGGCAACCUCGAGUUCCGACCUGCUGGAUCAGCUUGAGACCCACUUAACCCGGCUUCCCCUGAGUUAUGCAGUGGAUGUGAAUAUGGAUAGAGUGGAAGAUGUUUUGUUGCAUAUGAAGAUUCUUGAAGAAGCCAAGGACCCAGAAAAGCGCCCGAUCUUCCAUGUCCGUUGUAUGAAGACUAAAGUGGAUGGGAAUGAUGAUCUGCAACAAACAACAAGAGUUGGUACCUCUUCAAAUGGAUGUGAUGAUAGUGAAGAUGGAGAUCUGCGAUUAAAUUUGAGAAACAAGGAUUGCAGGAUUGACUUUGAACCUUGCUCAAAGCUGGAAGAUUUGAAUUUGAAUGUGAGAAAGAAUGCUGAAGACAUGGAAGAAAGAUAUCCAAUGGAGGCUCUUUCUGCAAGGCAGAAUGUUGAACAUGUCCCAAUUUAUGAAAUCAUAUUUUCUUCUAUCGACAAGCCCAAACUCCUUAGCCAGCUAUCUGCUUUGCUCUCUGAUGUUGGGCUAAACAUCCGUGAAGCACAUGUUUUUUCUACAACAGAUGGUUAUUCUUUGGAUGUAUUUGUUGUUGAUGGGUGGCCUAUGGAGGCAACAGAUAGUUUGCUCAAGGAACUCAAGAAGGCAGUUGCAAGAAAUGAGGGGUCAUGGUCUGGCUCCUCUCAUUCUUCGGCUGCAGAGAAAAUACUUGGGGUGCAACCAAAUAGUUGUGAUUGGGAAAUUGACAAAAGAUUGUUGAAGAUGGGAGACAGGAUUGCAUGUGGAUCUUGUGGAGAUUUGUAUCAAGGGACUUAUCUUGGUCAGGAUGUUGCUAUAAAAGUUCUUAGAUCUGAGCAUUUAAAUGAAGCUCUGGGGGUAGAAUUUGCUCAAGAAGUUAUGAUUUUAAGGGAAGUCCAGCACAGGAAUGUUGUUCACUUUAUUGGUGCUUGCACAAAACCUCCAGAAUUCUGCAUAGUAACAGAGUACAUGACUGGAGGAAAUCUCUAUGACCUCCUUCACAAGUAUCAUAAUGUUUUGGAGCUCUCAGUUUUGCUGAAGUUUGCCAUUGAUAUCUCCAGAGGGAUGAGUUAUCUGCACCAAAACAACAUCAUCCAUAGAGAUUUAAAGACAGCUAACCUGUUGAUGGACACCAACAAUGUUGUGAAGGUGGCGGACUUUGGUGUGGCUAGGUUUCAAAGUCAGGAGGGAGACAUGACUGCAGAAACUGGGACAUACAGAUGGAUGGCACCUGAGGUUAUAAAUCAUCAAUCAUAUGAUCAUAAGGCAGAUGUUUUCAGUUUUGCCAUUGUGCUCUGGGAGCUAGUAACAUCAAAGGUCCCAUAUGAAACUUUGACACCCUUGCAAGCUGCGUUAGGAGUAAGACAGGGCUUGCGUCCCGAGAUUCCAGAAAAAACACACUCUAAGUUGGUUGAGUUGAUGAAAAGAUGUUGGGAGGCGGCUCCGGCUAAACGACCCUCUUUUUCAGAGAUAACUGUUGAACUUGAGGAACUCUUGCAACAUAUUCAGGUCCGCAAAAUCGCCAUAUCAGUAUGUUACCACUUUGGUAUGUACAGUUGUACCAGGCGGUGCAAAGCAGUUUGGCUCGGUUUGGACCGGUUUGGCUUGUGUACCAAACCGAACCUUGGUACCCUAUCACUUCUACCUUUACCAAUAUAGCACAGCACAAUCGGUAUGGGGCACCAUGGGUAGGUACGGCAGACCUCCAAAUUUAAGAUGUUGGGAACUGGGGAAACAAAUCAAGAGGAAGAUGGAAAGAUACCAAGACAAUCAGCAGCAUGAUCGUUCCAUGUGUGAUUAGUAGCAUUCUUUUGAAUGCGUACCUAGGUUUGCAGGUUACCCUUUUCUGAGGCGGUGUUAUGUGCAGAUGUGCGCAGAGGUGUUGAGAUGUUCUCCUGUUGGGAUGUGCUACAUUUUUUUUUUUUUUUUCAUGCUUUGGUUCAUUUGUUGUAACUAGUUGUUGCCAUUGUCAUUAUCAAGAAGAGUUAGGAAUUUACCAGCCACGAGCCACACACACAAGUUUUGAUUGUUAUUUAGAAUAUCCCUUUAGUGAACCUUCUGUGCUAGAAGCCAGAAAGCAUGUUAUGUCGCUUGAAGCUUAGUCAAACAGACUUUAAGGUUUGAAAAUUUACUGAUCGUUUGUAUGAUGUACCAAUAUUGGCUGUUUAUGUAUAACCAUCCUUCUACUUUUGUUGUCUAUAAUUCUUGGAAGCUUGAUUUUAUUGGUAUGAAAGGAUUCAUCAGGAUGGGGCGUCAUUGCAG